AUUGAACGCUGGCGGCAGGCCUAACACAUGCAAGUCGAGCGGAUGAAGGGUGCUUGCUCCUGGAUUCAGCGGCGGACGGGUGAGUAAUGCCUAGGAAUCUGCCUGGUAGCGGGGGAUAACGUCCGGAAACGGGCGCUAAUACCGCAUACGUCCUGAGGGAGAAAGUGGGGGAUCUUCGGAUCUCACGCUAUCAGAUGAGACUAGGUCGGAUUAGCUAGUUGGUGGGGUAAAGGCCUACCAAGGCGACGAUCCGUGACUGGUCUGAGAGGAUGAUCAGUCACACUGGAACUGAGACACGGUCCAGACUCCUACGGGAGGCAGCAGUGGGGAAUAUUGGGCAAUGGGCGAAAGCCUGAUCCAGCAAUGCCGCGUGUGUGAAGAAGGUCUUCGGAUUGUAAAGCACUUUUAGUUGGGAGGAAGGGCAGUAAGUUAAUACCUUGCUGUUUUGACGGUACCAACAGAAUAAGCACCGGCUAACUUCGUG
rnacentral:rRNA from 1 species